rnacentral:lncRNA from 1 species
UUUAGAUGUUUUGGUACAUUGAUUUUCAGGUUCUAGGUUAUUUCUUCCGCAUUGUUUAGUUCUUGUUAGACUUUUGUUGGAGUUUAUGGGAACUCCCUAUUUAUUUUCUUAGCAUUUAACUUGCUUCCGUAACUUAAAUGCCUUAGUUUUGGUUUAGUUGCUUGGUUUGAGUUGUAGUAGUGGUUCUCCCACCGGAGAGU